AUGGAUAUUGUCACGGGUGCCAUUGCCAAGCUGAUCCCCAAGCUGGGAGAACUGCUUGUGGGGGAGUACAAGCUGCACAAGGGCGUCAAGAAAAAUAUCGAGGACCUCCUAAAAGAGCUCAAGACCAUGAACGCUGCGCUCAUCAAGAUUGGUGAGGUGCCGCCGGACCAGCUCGACAGCCAAGACAAGCUUUGGGCCGAUGAGGUCAGAGAGCUCUCCUACGUCAUUGAGGAUGCGGUGGACAAGUUCCUCGUACGGGUCCAUGGCGUUGAGCCCGACGACAACACCAACGGAUUCAAGGGGCUCAUGAAGAGGACCACCAAGUUGUUGAAGAAAGUCGUGGAUAAGCAUGGAAUAGCUCACACGAUCAAGGACAUCAAGAAGGAACUCCAGGAGGUGGCUGCUAGGCGUGACAGGAACAAGUUCGAUGGUAUUGCUUCUAUUCCUACUGAAGCAAUUGAUCCUCGUCUCCGUGCUCUAUACAUAGAAGCGGCAGAGCUAGUUGGCAUCUAUGGGAAGAGGGAUCAGGAGCUCAUGAGUUUACUCUCCUUGGAGGGCGAUGAUGCCUCUACCAAGAAACUGAAGAAGGUCUCCAUUGUUGGAUUUGGAGGGUUGGGCAAGACCACUCUUGCCAAAGCAGUAUACGAGAAGAUUAAAGGUGAUUUUGAUUGUCACGCAUUUGUUCCUGUCGGGCAGAACCCUAACAAGAAGAAGGUUUUUAGGGAUAUCCUCAUGGAUCUCAGCAACUCUAACUCAGAUCUUGCAUUAUUGGAUGAAAGGCAGCUUAUCAACAAACUUCAUAAAUUUCUCGAGAACAAGAGGUACCUUGUCAUAAUUGAUGAUGUAUGGGAUGAAGGUUUGUGGAAAGACAUCAACCUUGCUUUCUCCAACAGGAACAAUCUAGGCAGUCGGCUAAUCAUCACAACCCGCAUUUUUGGUGUCUCCGAGUCAUGUUGCUCAUCGGCUGAUGAUCCGGUUUAUGAAAUUGAACCUCUUUCCAUAGAUGACUCCAGCAAGCUCUUCUAUACAAGAAUAUUCUCGGAUAGUGGAUGCCCAAAGGAAUUUGAACAAGUGUCUAAAGAUAUAUUGAAGAAAUGUGGUGGGGUACCACUAGCCAUCAUUACUAUUGCUAGUGCUUUGGCUAGUGGCCAGCAAGUGAAACCAAAGCAUGAGUGGGAUAUUCUACUCCAGUCCCUUGGCUCCGGAGUAACAAAAGAUAACAGUUUGGUUGAGAUGCGGAGAAUACUAUCUUUCAGCUAUUAUAAUCUACCGUCUCAUCUGAAAACUUGUCUACUAUACCUAUGUCUAUAUCCAGAAGAUAGCGAGAUUUAUAGAGAUAGACUGAUAUGGAAGUGGGUGGCUGAAGGAUUUGUCCACCAUGGAGAUCAAGGGACCAGCCUGUUUUUGGUCGGAUUAAACUACUUCAACCAGCUCAUUAAUAGAAGUAUGAUCCAGCCAAUAUAUGAUGAUCUAGGCCAGGUACAUGCUUGCCGUGUACAUGAUAUGGUUCUGGACCUUAUCUGCAACUUGUCACAUGAAGCAAAGUUUGCGAAGUUAUUGGAUGGUACUGGGGAUAGCAUGUCUUUACAUGGCAAUGUUCGUCGUUUGUCCCUUCAAGAUAGAAAUAAAGAUGAUCAAGGCACACCUCUCAGAAAUUUCACGGGUAUAUCACGAGUGAGGUCAAUUACUAUCUUUACAUCUGCUAUUAAUAUCAUGCCAGCCCUGUCAAGGUUUGAAGUUUUGCGUGCACUUGAUUUGUCGGACUGUAACCUUGGGGAAAGUAGCAGCCUGCAGCCUAACCUCAAGGGUGUUGGACACUUAAUUCACCUAAGGUACCUAGGUCUAGCAGGUACUCAAAUUAGUGAACUCCCGACUGAGAUAGGAAACCUGCAAUUUUUGGAGGUGUUGGAUCUUGUAAGGAAUUAUGAGCUAGAUGAAUUGCCGUCCACUCUUUUUAAAUUGAGAAGGUUAAUCUACCUAAAUGUUUGGUUCUAUAAGGUGGUUCCAACUCCUGGUGUGUUGCAGAAUCUGACAUCCAUUGAAGUGUUGAGGGGGAUAUUGGUCUCUCUGAACAUUAUUGCACAAGAGCUUGGAAACCUAGCAAGGCUGAGGGAGCUUCAGAUUCGCUUCAAGGAUGGUAGUUUGGAUUUGUAUGAAGGUUUCGUGAAGUCUCUGUGCAACCUACAUCACAUCGAAAGCCUAAUUGUUAGUUGCAAUUCUGGAGAAACAUCUUUUGAACUGAUGGAUCUCUUGGGAGAACAAUGGGUGCCUCCUGUACAUCUCCGCGAAUUUGCGUCAUACAUGCCCAGCCAACUCUCUGCACUGCGAGGGUGGAUAAAGAGAGACCCUUCGCAUCUCUCGAACCUCUCCGAGUUAAUCCUCACGUCAGUGAAGGAAGUGCAGCAGGAGGACGUGGAAAUCAUUGGGGGGUUGCAGUCCCUUCGACGUCUCUGGAUAACGAGCACCCACCAAACACAGCGGCUGCUAGUCAUCGGUGCAGAUGGGUUCCGCUGUAUGGUAGACUUUGAGUUGUAUUGUGGAUCCGCAACGCAGAUAAUGUUUGAAUCAGGAGCUUUGCCGAGGGCGGAAGAAGUUUGCUUCAGCCUGGGCGUGCGCAUGGCGAAAGAGGAUGGUAACCGUGGUUUCGACUUGGGCCUGCAGGGGAACCUGCUCUCCCUUCGGCGGCGUGUCUGCGUUUGGAUGUGUUGUGGUGGAGCGAGGGUUGGGGAGGCAAAAGAAGCGGAGGCUGCGGUGAGGCACGCCCUCGAUGCCCAUCCCAACCAUCCCAGGAUUUCUAUUUCUAUGCGCCCGAGUAUAGCAGAAGAUGCUCAUGAUGACGAUUUGUGUGAGGACGAGGAGGAGAACUGA
rnacentral:rRNA from 1 species